rnacentral:lncRNA from 1 species
GGAGACUUCAAAUUAAAUCUAUGUAUGGGCCGAAGUGGUGGUUGUUCGAAGGUGGUAUUUGUAUACCCUGCACUGAAGCUUUGUAGGUGAAGCUUUGCAAGUGAAGCUUUGAAGCUAAAGCUCUGUAAAUGAAGCUUUCGAAGCUAGAGCUUUUGUAAAUGAAGCUUUUGAAGCUAGAGCUCUGUAAAUGAAACUUUUAAAGUUAAAGCUCUGUAAAUGAAACUUUUAAAGCUGAUUGACAUGAGUGAUGCCCAUGAAUGUUUAUGUUGAUUGACAUGAGUGAUGCUCAUGGAUGUUGUCAUGAGUGAUGCUCAUGAUUGUUAACAUGAGUGAUGCUCAUGAAUGUUGAUAUGAAUUAUGGUCAUGAAUGUUUAUGUAUGAUUGUUAUGAGUGAUGCUCAUGAAUGUUUAUGUAUGAAUGACAUGAGUAAUGCUCAUGUAUAAUUUAGAAUAUUAGGCGUACUUUUGAUCACCUGGUUGGUGGCAUGAAGGAGAGUACGGGUUGUACAUUUCAUCACCUGGUUGGUGGUAAUAGCGGUUGGUUGCCGAAUAAUUUUGGAGUACUGGGCGUACUUUUCAUCACCUGGUUGGUGAUGAUAGCGGUAGGUUGCCGAAUAAUUUUGGAGUAAUGGGCGUACUUUUCAUCACCUGGUUGGUGAUGAUAGUGGCAGGUUGCCGAAUAAUUAUGGAGUACUGGGCGUACUUUUGAUGACCUGGUUGGUGUUAUUUUGAGCUUAUGGGCUUUUGCCCUCCACACAACAUUCCAGCCCAUUUAUUUUGGGCUUUGCCUUUUUUUUUUUUUUUUUUUUUUUACCCUCUGAUGGGGUUUAUACAGAUGUUUUCGAAAGAUAAAAUUAAAUUACAUCAUACAAAAAUAAGAAAAGCAAAUCACAUCAUUCUGAUGGGGUGUUUAUUCUUUGCUUUUGAUUUCUUUUUUGCUUUCCUAGUGACAUGAUGGCUGGAUUGUUUGACUGGUGUGCAAUUGGCACAUGUUAUCUCCACAAAUUUCUUCAGACAUUUUCCUUCUCCUCCUUUUUCUUUUCACUACGUUUUUUCUGCUUUGCUUUUGCUUUCCCAUGUACUCUCGCAGACAAUGGGUUGAGAGAACACUGUUGUAAGGCUAUCUUUUGCUUUUACUUUCUUUGCUUUUGCUUUCUCUGCUGCAUGGUCCACGAGUCCCCCACCCAAUGUUCAUAAUAUUCUCCCACACUAAGCCCAUGAGCUUUCUUUAAUAGCCUUUAUUGCCCCUGCCACUCACAAUACUUUUGGUCAGGAACGGCAUCUCUCCAGUAC